CCAGACUUUGACAGUUCAACUGCUGAAUUCUACCAGUCCUGAAAAGAAAUGACAUCAAUGCACUGCUAACUGCUCCACCAAAGAAGAAAGAUAAUGAACCCAUUAAACACAGGAGAGGUGCAAAGCGCAACUGUAACAAAAAGCAGGCCAUUGCCUGAUGUCACCUGGCUGAAAACGGUAAUUUGUGAUGGAGCAUUGACAGCACAGGAGGAAGGGGGAAAGGUAUAAGGAAAUACAGAACAGGUCACCAUCGAAUCUGAGGAAGAUUUCCUUGCGAUAUUUACAUGUUGAAGAGCAUUUUGCCUCUCCUGGGCUUAUCCUUUCUGCCGAGCAUCUCUCCCGGAUACACUGGUUCACACACAGACUGCUGCCAUGACUGGAAGAAUCCUACGGUUUAAUUGAACUCCCCUAAAUUCAUGUGUUGGAAGCACAGUGCGCAGUACAGUAGCGUUAAGGAGGUGGCCAAGUCAUGGAGAUGGAACGUCAGGAAUGCUAAGUAACAUUAUCUUUAGGACAGGCUGGUUAUUAUUAGACAAUUAAACAUUUAAUAUCAUGAA